rnacentral:rRNA from 1 species
UGGGGAAUUUUGGACAAUGGGCGAAAGCCUGAUCCAGCAAUGCCGCGUGUGUGAAGAAGGCCUUCGGGUUGUAAAGCACUUUUGUCCGGAAAGAAAUCCUUGGCUCUAAUACAGUCGGGGGAUGACGGUACCGGAAGAAUAAGCACCGGCUAACUACGUGCCAGCAGCCGCGGUAAUACGUAGGGUGCAAGCGUUAAUCGGAAUUACUGGGCGUAAAGCGUGCGCAGGCGGUUUGCUAAGACCGAUGUGAAAUCCCCGGGCUCAACCUGGGAACUGCAUUGGUGACUGGCAGGCUAGAGUAUGGCAGAGGGGGGUAGAAUUCCACGUGUAGCAGUGAAAUGCGUAGAGAUGUGGAGGAAUACCGAUGGCGAAGGCAGCCCCCUGGGCCAAUACUGACGCUCAUGCACGAAAGCGUGGGGAGCAAACAGGAUUAGAUACCCUGGUAGUCCACGCCCUAAACGAUGUCAACUAGUUGUUGGGGAUUCAUUCCUUAGUAACGUAGCUAACGCGUGAAGUUGACCGCCUGGGGGAGUACGGUCGCAAGAUUAAAACUCAAAUGAAUUGACGGGGUCCU